AGUGAACGCUGGCGGUAGGCCUAACACAUGCAAGUCGAACGGCAGCACAGUAAGAGCUUGCUCUUACGGGUGGCGAGUGGCGGACGGGUGAGGAAUACAUCGGAAUCUACUUUUUCGUGGGGGAUAACGUAGGGAAACUUACGCUAAUACCGCAUACGACCUACGGGUGAAAGCAGGGGAUCUUCGGACCUUGCGCGAUUGAAUGAGCCGAUGUCGGAUUAGCUAGUUGGCGGGGUAAAGGCCCACCAAGGCGACGAUCCGUAGCUGGUCUGAGAGGAUGAUCAGCCACACUGGAACUGAGACACGGUCCAGACUCCUACGGGAGGCAGCAGUGGGGAAUAUCGGACAAUGGGCGCAAGCCUGAUCCAGCCAUACCGCGUGGGUGAAGAAGGCCUUCGGGUUGUAAAGCCCUUUUGUUGGGAAAGAAAAGCAGCAGGUUAAUACCCCGCUGUUCUGACGGUACCCAAAGAAUAAGCACCGGCUAACUUCGU
rnacentral:rRNA from 1 species